GGCGAACGGGUGAGUAAUGCAUCGGAACGUGCCCAAUUGUGGGGGAUAACGCAGCGAAAGCUGUGCUAAUACCGCAUACGAUCUACGGAUGAAAGCGGGGGACCUUCGGGCCUCGCGCGAAUGGAGCGGCCGAUGUUAGAUUAGGUAGUUGGUGGGGUAAAGGCUCACCAAGCCGACGAUCUAUAGCUGGUCUGAGAGGACGACCAGCCACACUGGAACUGAGACACGGUCCAGACUCCUACGGGAGGCAGCAGUGGGGAAUUUUGGACAAUGGGCGAAAGCCUGAUCCAGCAAUACCGCGUGCAGGAAGAAGGCCUUCGGGUUGUAAACUGCUUUUGUACGGAACGAAAAGGCUCUUUCUAAUAAAGAGGGCUCAUGACGGUACCGUAAGAAUAAGCACCGGCUAACUACGUGCCAGCAGCCGCGGUAAUACGUAGGGUGCGAGCGUUAAUCGGAAUUACUGGGCGUAAAGCGUGC
rnacentral:rRNA from 1 species